rnacentral:rRNA from 1 species
CCUACGGGGUGCAGCAGUGAGGAAUAUUGGUCAAUGGACGAGAGUCUGAACCAGCCAAGUAGCGUGAAGGAUGACUGCCCUAUGGGUUGUAAACUUCUUUUAUAUGGGAAUAAAAUGUUCCACGUGUGGGAUUUUGUAUGUACCAUAUGAAUAAGGAUCGGCUAACUCCGUGCCAGCAGCCGCGGUAAUACGGAGGAUCCGAGCGUUAUCCGGAUUUAUUGGGUUUAAAGGGAGCGUAGGUGGAUUGUUAAGUCAGUGGUGAAAGUUUGCGGCUCAACCGUAAAAUUGCAGUUGAAACUGGCAGUCUUGAGUACAGUAGAGGUGGGCGGAAUUCGAGGUGGAGCGGUGAAAUGCUUGUAUAUAACGAAGAACUCCGAUUGCGAAGGCAGUUCACUGGACUGCAAGUGACACUGAGGCUCGAAAGUGUGGGUAUAAAACAGGAUUAGAUACCCUUGUAGUC